rnacentral:rRNA from 1 species
UAGGGAAUCUUCCACAAUGGACGCAAGUCUGAUGGAGCAACGCCGCGUGAGUGAAGAAGGUCUUCGGAUCGUAAAGCUCUGUUGUUGGUGAAGAAGGAUAGAGGCAGUAACUGGUCUUUAUUUGACGGUAAUCAACCAGAAAGUCACGGCUAACUACGUGCCAGCAGCCGCGGUAAUACGUAGGUGGCAAGCGUUGUCCGGAUUUAUUGGGCGUAAGGCGAGCGCAGGCGGAAUGAUAAGUCUGAUGUGAAAGCCCACGGCUCAACCGUGGAACUGCAUCGGAAACUGUCAUUCUUGAGUGCAGAAGAGGAGAGUGGAACUCCAUGUGUAGCGGUGGAAUGCGUAGAUAUAUGGAAGAACACCAGUGGCGAAGGCGGCUCUCUGGUCUGCAACUGACGCUGAGGCUCGAAAGCAUGGGUAGCGAACAGGAUUAGAUACCCUGGUAGUCCAUGCCGUAAACGAUGAGCGCUAGGUGUUGGGGACUUUCCGGU